rnacentral:pre_miRNA from 1 species
AAUAGAUGAUGUCGUUGACUUUUUCUCACAUGUUUGACCAUUCGUCUUAUUCAAAAGGUUUACGUAAUUAUAAUUUAUUAUGCUAUGAGUUGUUUAUCACUCAUAGUACUUUAAGUGUGAUUUAUAUCUUAUAUAUUUGCAUAAAUUUUUUGAAUAAGACGAAUGGUCAAACAUGUGAAAAAAAGUCAACGGCAUCAUCUCUU